AGGCUGAGAAAGGAAGAAGUUCAAAAAAAAUGUAUGUGGAAGAAGACAAGGAGUUUGCAAGACAAACUUCUAUGUAGUUCAUUAAGCACAUCUCUGGUUUCUUAUUGAUUUCAAGCUAUAAAAAAAGAAUUAAGAGGCCAAGAGGAAAUAGGUCGGGUUUACACACCAAGGAACUAGUCUAAGACUGUAGAGAUCGAGUUUUCGGUGCAUGAAAGACUGCCUUAGUCUGCUGAAGCUUCGAUAUCAAUUGCUAGUACGUGGUUAGAGUUGUGCAUAGAGUCUAUUGUGUUAUGAUGUAUAUA